GAUUAUGGCUCAGGAUGAACGCUGGCGGCGUGCCUAACACAUGCAAGUCGAGCGAUCCCUCGGGGAGAGCGGCGGACGGGUGAGUAACGCGUGGGUAACCUGCCCUGUACACACGGAUAACAUACCGAAAGGUAUGCUAAUACGGGAUAAUAUAUGAAAGUUGCAUAACUUUCAUAUCAAAGCUUUUGCGGUACAGGAUGGACCCGCGUCUGAUUAGCUAGUUGGUAAGGUAACGGCUUACCAAGGCGACGAUCAGUAGCCGACCUGAGAGGGUGAUCGGCCACACUGGAACUGAGACACGGUCCAGACUCCUACGGGAGGCAGCAGUGGGGAAUAUUGCACAAUGGGCGAAAGCCUGAUGCCAGCAACGCCGCGUGAGCGAUGAAGGCCUUCGGGUCGUAAAGCUCUGUCCUCAAGGAAGAUAAUGACGGUACUUGAGGAGGAAGCCCCGGCUAACUACGUGCCAGCAGCGGC
rnacentral:rRNA from 1 species